CCUACGGGCUGCAGCAGUGGGGAAUAUUGCACAAUGGGCGCAAGCCUGAUGCAGCCAUGCCGCGUGUGUGAAGAAGGCCUUCGGGUUGUAAAGCACUUUCAGCGGGGAGGAAGGCGCCAUGGUUAAUAACCUUGGCGAUUGACGUCACCCGCAGAAGAAGCACCGGCUAACUCCGUGCCAGCAGCCGCGGUAAUACGGAGGGUGCAAGCGUUAAUCGGAAUUACUGGGCGUAAAGCGCACGCAGGCGGUCUGUCAAGUCGGAUGUGAAAUCCCCGGGCUCAACCUGGGAACUGCAUUCGAACUGGCAGGCUAGAGUCUUGUAGAGGGGGGUAGAAUUCCAGGUGUAGCGGUGAAAUGCGUAGAGAUCUGGAGGAAUACCGGUGGCGAAGGCGGCCCCCUGGACAAAGACUGACGCUCAGGUGCGAAAGCGUGGGGAGCAAACAGGAUUAGAUACCCCAGUAGUC
rnacentral:rRNA from 1 species